GAUGAAGAACGUAGUGAAAUGCAAUAAGUAAUGUGAAUUGCAGAAUUCAGUGAAUCAUCGAAUCUUUGAACGCACAUUGCGCCCGCCAGUAUUCUGGCGGGCAUGCCUGUUCGAGCGUCAUUUCAACCAUCAAGCCCCCGGCUUGUGUUGGGGACCUGCGGCUGCCGCAGGCCCUGAAAACCAGUGGCGGGCUCGCUGUCACACCGAGCGUAGUAGAUUUUCAUCUCGCUCAGGGCGUGCUGCGGGUUCCGGCCGUAAAAAGCCUUAUUUACCCAAGGUUGACCUCGGAUCAGGUAGGAAGACCCGCUGAACUUAAGCAUAUCAAUAAGCGGAGGA
rnacentral:misc_RNA from 1 species